CGUAGGGGGCAAGCGUUGUCCGGAUUUACUGGGUGUAAAGGGCGCGUAGGCGGACUUAAAAGUCGAUGGUGAAAACCUGCAGCUUAACUGCAGAACUGCCAUUGAUACUGUAAGUCUUGAGUGCGGAAGAGAGAGACGGAAUUCCAGGUGUAGUGGUGAAAUACGUAGAUAUCUGGAAGAACAUCAGUUGCGAAGGCGGUCUCUUGGUCCGUUACUGACGCUGAGGCGCGAAAGCGUGGGUAGCAAACAGGAUUAGAUACCCUGGUAGUCCACGCUGUAAACGAUGAAUACUAGGUGUUGGAUCGUAAGAUUCAGUGCCGCAGCUAACGCAUUAAGUAUUCCACCUGGGGAGUACGAUCGCAAGGUUG
rnacentral:rRNA from 1 species